AUAUAUAAUACUCUGCGAGGACUCUACGUUGUAUGUAUAAAUAUAAGAGCACUCUGUCAGGGCGAUAUUGUUUUGCCGGUUUAGUAGCUCUGUUCGGCUUGUCUAGACACUGUUCCGUUCUUGUUAUAUUGGAUUCCUUUAUUGGCCAAUUCGUUUACAAGUCAGUAUGUACAAUGUGUAUUGAACAAUCAAGUUUUCAGGAUAUUGCGGGACCACCCGAAGUUCAAUUGUCAUUCAGUUAGCCGCUCGCCCAGUCCGAAAUUCGGUUUGCUAAACUAAUUUCCAUCGUCGAACUGAUUUACGAUUUCGUAUUCAAAAUCCGUUGCAAUGCAAUAGUUAAAAAACCG